rnacentral:rRNA from 1 species
GGGAGUGCUUGCACUCUGCCGGCGAGCGGCGGACGGGUGAGUAACGCGUGGGAAUCUACCCAUUUGUGGGGGAUAACUUGGGGAAACUCAAGCUAAUACCGCAUAAUCCCUACGGGGGAAAGCAGGGGAUCUUCGGACCUUGCGCAGAUGGAUGAGCCCGCGUCGGAUUAGCUAGUUGGUGGGGUAAAGGCCUACCAAGGCGACGAUCCGUAGCUGGUCUGAGAGGAUGGCCAGCCACAUCGGGACUGAGACACGGCCCGAACUCCUACGGGAGGCAGCAGUGGGGAAUCUUGGACAAUGGGGGAAACCCUGAUCCAGCCAUGCCGCGUGUGUGAAGAAGGCCCUAGGGUUGUAAAGCACUUUCAGUAGGGAGGAAGGCUCUGGGUUAAUACCCUGGAGUACUUGACGUUACCUACAGAAGAAGCACCGGCUAAUUUCGUGCCAGCAGCCGCGGUAAUACGAAAGGUGCGAGCGUUAAUCGGAAUUACUGGGCGUAAAGCGCGCGUAGGUGGUUUGGUAAGUUGGGAGUGAAAGCCCCGGGCUCAACCUGGGAAUUGCUUUCAAAACUGCCAGGCUAGAGUGCGGUAGAGGGAGGUGGAAUUUCCGGUGUAGCGGUGAAA